UGGGGAAUAUUGCACAAUGGAGGGAACUCUGAUGCAGCGACGCCGCGUGAACGAAGAAGGCUUUCGAGUCGUAAAGUUCUUUUAUAUGGGAAGAUAAUGACGGUACCAUAAGAAAAAGCCCCGGCUAACUACGUGCCAGCAGCCGCGGUAAUACGUAGGGGGCUAGCGUUGUCCGGAAUCACUGGGCGUAAACGGUUCGCAGGCGGAAAUGCAAGUCAGGUGUAAAAGGCAGUAGCUUAACUACUGUAAGCAUUUGAAACUGCAUAUCUUGAGAAGAGUAGAGGUAAGUGGAAUUUUUAGUGUAGCGGUGAAAUGCGUAGAUAUUAAAAAGAAUACCGGUGGCGAAGGCGACUUACUGGGCUCAUUCUGACGCUGAGGAACGAAAGCGUGGGUAGCAAACAGG
rnacentral:rRNA from 1 species